AUGGGUAAUACAUUGGGCCUGGCACUGAUGGGGAUUUUGCCUGCUGUAGCCCCUGCCAAGAGGAACCUCUACAUCACCCUGGGAGUUUUGAUGUGCUGCACCAGCUAUGCAAAGAUAGAGGGAAUGAAGCUCGUUGUCAACAAGGUUCUGAGCAGCCAUUUCCAGGUGGCUCACACUGUGCACAUGAGUGCCCUGGGCUUGCCUGGCUAUCACCUCCAUGCAGCCAAUGCAGGGGUUUGGCAGCUCAGCCCCACAGAGACACAACAGAUCAAGUUCCUGAGAUGGCAGUUUGACAGCAAGUAUCGGAGGAGAUGACUGUACAGCCACUCUGAUCCUAGGAAAUCCUGACCUGAUUGGGGCAUCGGUGACCAUGUUUGCUCACUUCCUGCAGAGCCUCACUCAUCAACUGGUACUGGGAGGAGAGCUGGUUUAUCAUGGGCGGCCAGGCGAGGAGGGGGCCAUCUUGACUCCAGCUGGGAAGUAUUUGGCUGUACAUUGGGUAGCUACAUUGAAUGUGGGAUCUGGCAGGGCUCAUCAAGCUAUUACCAUAGGGCAAAUGAACAGGUUCAAGUUGGAGUGGAGUUUGAGGCAAACACAAGGCUACAAGACACAACCUUCUCCUUUGGUUACCACCUGACUCUGCCGCAGGCCAAUAUGGUAUUUAGAGGCUUGGUGGAUAGUAACUGGUGUGUGGGUGCCAUACUGGAGAAGAGAUGCCCAUGCUGCCCAUCACCCUCGCCCUUGGAGCCUUCCUUAAUCACUGGCACAACAGAUUCCAUGGUGGCUUCAGCAUCACUGUGGCCUGA